UGAAUCGCUAGUAAUCGCGGAUCAGCAUGCCGCGGUGAAUACGUUCCCGGGCCUUGUACACACCGCCCGUCACACCAUGAGAGUUUGUAACACCCAAAGCCGGUGGGGUAACCGUAAGGGACCAGCCGUCUAAGGUGGGACAGAUGAUUGGGGUGAAGUCGUAACAAGGUAGCCGUAGGAGAACCUGCGGCUGGAUCACCUUCUUUCUAA
rnacentral:rRNA from 1 species